AUACAACUGACGAGUUCCAAAUUGAACGAAACGUUCGUCGAACUGAAU
rnacentral:hammerhead_ribozyme from 1 species